rnacentral:lncRNA from 1 species
UUUUUUUUUUCUUAGCUUGUUGGAAUGUUUUUUUUUUUCUUCCUUUUGCUAGUUAUGUAAAGGGUCUAAUGAUCUCCUUUUGUACUAAAAAAAAUUAGCCAACUUUCAGGAUGCAGUUUGAUCCAUGACAUCUAGCCCAUGUUUUUCAAAUGGCCUAAAAAACAAACAUGGCUAAAUUUGGGACACCUGUAAUCAUUCCAAUAG